rnacentral:rRNA from 1 species
CCUACGGGUGGCAGCAGUAGGGAAUAUUGCUCAAUGGGGGAAACCCUGAAGCAGCAACGCCGCGUGGAGGAUGACUGUCUUCGGAUUGUUAACCCUCUUUGAUAGAGAAGUUAAAGACGGCAUCUAAGGAAUAUUCACCGGCUAACUCCGUGCCAGCAGCCGCGGUACUACGGCGGGUGCAAGCGUUAUUCGGAGUAACUGGGCGUAAAGGGCGCGUAGGGGGGUUAGCAAGUCAGAUGUGAAAUCGUGUGGUUUAACCAUAGAACUGCAUUUGAAACUGUUAUUCUAGAGUAUGGGAGAGGUAGGUGGAAUUCUUGGUGUAGGGGUGAAAUGCGUAGAGAUCAAGAAGAAUACUCAUGGCGAAGGCGACCUGCUAGACCAUAACUGACGCUGAUGCGCGAAAGCGUGGGUAGCAAACAGGAUUAGAUACCCCAGUAGUC